rnacentral:rRNA from 1 species
UACGGAGGGUGCAAGCGUUAAUCGGAAUUACUGGGCGUAAAGCGUGCGCAGGCGGUUUGUUAAGUCUGCUGUGAAAUCCCCGAGCUCAACUUGGGAAUUGCAGUGGAUACUGGCAGGCUGGAGUAUGGUAGAGGAAGGUGGAAUUCCCGGUGUAGCAGUGAAAUGCGUAGAGAUCGGGAGGAACACCAGUGGCGAAGGCGGCCUUCUGGACCAAUACUGACGCUCAGGCACGAAAGCGUGGGGAGCAAACAGG